GAGGGUGACAAAAGACCUGCUAACUCUUUAACCUGGAAUUAACCACCAGCCCCCUCU
rnacentral:tRNA from 1 species